UACGAAGGGGCGAGCGUUGUUCGGAUUUACUGGGCGUAAAGGGCGCGUAGGCGGCGGGUCAAGUCGAGUGUGAAAGCCCCGGGCUCAACCUGGGAGGUGCGCUCGAGACUGGUCUGCUAGAGUUCGGGAGAGGAGCGUGGAAUUCCCAGUGUAGAGGUGAAAUUCGUAGAUAUUGGGAAGAACACCGGUGGCGAAGGCGGCGCUCUGGACCGAGACUGACGCUGAGGCGCGAAAGCGUGGGGAGCGAACAGG
rnacentral:rRNA from 1 species